UACAGAGGGGGCAAGCGUUAUUCGGAAUUAUUGGGCGUAAAGGGCGCGUAGGCGGUUUCUUAAGUCGGAUGUGCAAUCCCCGGGCUCAACCUGGGAACUGCAUCCGAGACUGGGAGGCUAGAGUACUGGAGAGGUUGGUGGAAUUCCAGGUGUAGCGGUGAAAUGCGUAGAGAUGGGGAGGAACACCAGUGGCGAAGGCGGCCAACUGGACAGUAACUGACGCUGAGGCGCGAAAGUGUGGGUAGCAAACAGG
rnacentral:rRNA from 1 species